UUUUUGGUCAUUCCAAAUCUAUGUUAUCUUCCCAUUUUUCUUGCAGGUUAUUUUCCCAAUCGCCCUGUCUCCUGACACUGUGUUGGCAGUCCACUUGUAAGAGAGGUUGCAACAAGAAUUACUGGACAAGCCUGGUACUCUUCCAUUUGAUGAGGAUAAUUGGCCUUCUGUGAUGUUUGCAAUGGCAGGAGGGGUGGUACUUAGCCUUGGAAAUCUCUCAACUCAGUAUGCUUGGGCUUCUGUUGGCUUAUCAGUCACAAAAGUGAUCACUGCAAGCAUAACAG